GGUGGAGCAAAACUCAAAAAAUGAUCUCAGUUCGGACUGUAGGCUGCAACUCGCCUACACGAAGUUGGAAUUGCUAGUAAUCGUGGAUCAGCAUGCCACGGUGAAUACGUUCCCGGGUCUUGUACACACCGCCCGUCACACCAUGGGAGCUGGUAACACCCGAAGUCAGUAGUCUAACCGCAAGGAGGACGCUGCCGAAGGUGGGAUUAGCGACUGGGGUGAAGUCGUAACAAGGUAAC
rnacentral:rRNA from 1 species